rnacentral:SRP_RNA from 1 species
GCCAGGUGUGGUGACCCGUGCCUAUAAUCCCAGCUACUUGGGAGGCUGAGACAGGAGAAUCACUUGAACUCAGGAGGCAGAGAUUGCAGUGAGCCGAGAUCAGGCCACUGCACUCCAGCCUGGGCAACAGAGUGAGAUUCUGUCUCAA